GGCUCAGGACGAACGCUGGCGGCGUGCCUAAUACAUGCAAGUCGAGCGAACAGAGAAGGAGCUUGCUCCUUUGACGUUAGCGGCGGACGGGUGAGUAACACGUGGGCAACCUACCUUAUAGUUUGGGAUAACUCCGGGAAACCGGGGCUAAUACCGAAUAAUCURUUUUACCUCAUGGUGAAACACUGAAAGACGGUUUCGGCUGUCGCUAUAAGAUGGGCCCGCGGCGCAUUAGCUAGUUGGUGAGGUAACGGCUCACCAAGGCGACGAUGCGUAGCCGACCUGAGAGGGUGAUCGGCCACACUGGGACUGAGACACGGCCCAGACUCCUACGGGAGGCAGCAGUAGGGAAUCUUCCACAAUGGGCGAAAGCCUGAUGGAGCAACGCCGCGUGAGUGAAGAAGGUUUUCGGAUCGUAAAACUCUGUUGUAAGGGAAGAACAAGUACAGUAGUAACUGGCUGUACCUGAC
rnacentral:rRNA from 1 species